GAGGGUGUGGCUCAGUGGCAGAACACUUGCCUAGUAUGCAGAAGGCCCUGGGUUCAAUUCCCAGAUCAUCA
rnacentral:tRNA from 1 species